UCAAAUUAAAGUCAAACAAGAGCAAACAUCCUUGGUCUCAUGUUUAUAUCAUUCAUCAUGCUCAUGUUAUGCACAAAAUAAGGCAAACUAGUUCAAAUGAAGCACCAAACAUGCAAACAGAAUUAUUGCACUCAAAUCCAUACCAAAACAAAUCUAAAAAUUCUCAAAUUAUUUACACCUAAACAGGGGGCAUUCAAGGUUUACCAUGUCAAAUUUGAGCUUAAAUGGGCAAAUGGAACCAUG
rnacentral:lncRNA from 1 species